rnacentral:rRNA from 1 species
GUUUAUGCCGCAUGGCAUAAGAGUGAAGGCGCUUUCGGGUGUCACUGAUGKAUGGACCCGCGGUGCAUUAGCUAGUUGGUGAGGUAACGCUCACCAAGCACGAUGCAUAGCCGACCUGAGAGGUCGGCCACACUGGGACGAGACACGGCCCAGACUCUACGGGAGGCAGCAGUAGGGAAUCUUCGGCUGGACGAAAGUCUGACCGAGCAACGGCGUGAGUGAAGAAGGUUUUCGGAUCGUAAAACUCUGUUGUUAGAGAAGAACAAGGACGUUAGUAACUGAACGUCCCCUGACGGUAUCUAACCAGAAAGCCACGGCUAACUAGUGCCAGCAGCCGCGGUAAUACGUCAAGCGUUGUCCGGAUUUAUUGGGCGUAAAGCGAGCGCAGGCGGUUUCUUAAGUCUGAUGUGAAAGCCCCCGGCUCAACCGGGGGGGUCAUUGGAAACUGGGAGACUUGAGUGGAAGAGGAGAGUGGAAUUCCAUGUGUAGCGGUGCGUAGAUAUAUGGAACACCAGUGAAGGCGGCUCUCUGGUCUGUAACUGACGCUGAGGCUCGAAAGCGGGGAGCAAACAGGAUUAGAUACCCUGGUAGUCCACGCCGUAAACGAWRARUGSUAAGUGUUGGAGGGUUUCCGCCCUUCAGUGCUGCAGCAAACGCAUAACC